CAGAAUUAGUCAACAUAUAGAUGUUUUGCAAAAUAAACUAGGAGAACACUGUUGCUCUGAAGGAUUUGGGACAUUAAAUUAAAUAUUAUGUAUUAAGAAGCAAUAUGUGAAUUACGGUAUGAAAGAAAUUUGAAAAACAGUGGUUCGUUUAAGUUAUUUGUCAAGAAUAAUUUAAAGAGAUCGUAACAUGUGUAAACCUGAUUUUCAUUUUUUUAUUAUUUUAAGUGCAAUGCGACGUGAAUUUCAC
rnacentral:lncRNA from 1 species